CCUGCCCUCAGAUAUGAAACGUCAACCGUCACAGCCCCGCGGGGGCCUCAGGGGCGUGGGUGAGGAGCCUAAUGAGCCAUGGUCCCGAUUUAUUAAAAAUCAUAAAUAUUCUUCUCGGAGGCAGAGUGGAGCCAGAGGAGGAAGGAGGUAGCUUCUGGCUGAUGUGUGUGUGUCUGUGUCCGUGUGCGUGUGCGACAGUCCCAGCGAGAGGGAGCAGACAGGCGUCCCUGGGAGCAGACUUUUGGAUGUGGCCCACGUCUACGAGCGUGUCCCAGCCUGUCCCUUGAGAAGGGCCCUCACCUGCUACGACAAGUGUCCUGAAAUGACUGUGCAUUAUCACUGUGCACGCACUCUGCCUCUCCACUGGGUUCCUACCGGAUUCUCCACCCUGUACCCAACACUGGAAGCGAAAAUGGGUCAGACACGGCCCUGUCAUCGGGGAGCUCACAGCCUCCUUGUGGAGGGUGACAGGGACAUUUGACAUUUGGUGACAUAAUAAUAGCAACCAGCAUAUUAGGGCCACAGCCAGCUGUACAAUGACAGCGUCUGUGACACAGUAAUAGGUGCACUUCCUGACACAUGCGUUUAAUGACUACAUGGCAGCGGUAAUUUUGAAUGAGAAUAGACAGAAUUUACGAGAUAUCCGCCACAACUGAAAUGCGAUAUGAAAAUAUCUGAAUUUUGCAGGCAGAAAGUUUCCUUGGUGCUGCUCUGCUGCUGCUGUUUGCUGCCUACGUUCAAAGCGGAAGCGAAAGCGGUGAUGCGGCGAGAGGUCAGCGGGCUCCAGUGAUGCAGGAGGCAUGAACAGAAUCGGCUGCUCAGGCCGAAUUCCUCACGGGGGGCCGAGACAGAGGCGGGUUCAACACAGGGCUGAGGGCCUAUCAACAGCGAACGCACAGGGUGCUCGGUGCCCACCUCUCUGCCUGCAAGGGCUGCUCUGCAGUUCCGACCGCCUCACCUUCUGCGCCGUUGGCCCGCAGGGCUGUGCCCUGUCACGAACGGGAGGACCUGAACCUGAGUCUGCGCCCACUUGGGAAGGAAGCUCGGAUUCGUUCAUUUUAUUUUGAUCCGUCCUCCUCCCCACGCGCUGACCUCAUCUCCAGAGGAAGCAGAUGGUCCCAUUCGCACCCACCGAGACCAGGGCUUUCCCAAGAAGCUCGGCGCCCCCAGCUGCGCACAGCCACCUGCAGGAGGGGCUUUCUCCCAGUUCUAAAGCUUCUGCAGUGGCCUUCCUUCCCACUGCUAUUAUUUUCCUUAAAUGUCUGCAGAAAACAAAAAGCUGCUUCGAAACAGCAGUUCCUUGGAACAAGGGGCAGCGAUGGGUGCCGGACGCCACCCUCCGCGGUUUUCCUUGAAGGGCUCUGCCUCUGGGCGUUACAUUUUCAGACUGUGUCACCCUUGCCUGUCACAUAAGGCAGGUUCCGAGAUGCCAGGACGCGGCCUGGAGGGCUGUGUACCUGUGCCCACCGGGGGGAGAGUCAACUCCACGGGCACAGCCGGUGCUUAAGACACCCAUGGCCUCUGCGGCCUCUUGUCAAGUCCACCACUGGCUUUCCUCAACCUUCCCGAGCCGUCUUCCACCCGAGCCCAGCAGGUGCCUCCAGCCCCAGGACGGCCGUGUGCACCCGGACGCGGGCUGCAGCCCCGGGCCGCGCUGCCCGGCUGCCGGCUGGCGGCCUUCCUUUCUGCUGGAGCGGAUUGAGACCCGCGGCCAGCUUGCAGGAGGGCGGUGCCUGGAGAAACAAGAGGCUUUUGAAGCACAAGGUGAACGAGCCUGGCUGUGGUUUACAUUCUUUACCCUAAUUUUAACAAGUAUUUCAGUCCCCUUGAAAAUUGCUUCUCUAGAAUAAUAAACAGAGCCCGCACUGAGUCAUGUGCUGGCCGGGAAGGGGAGCUAAGCUUGGGGGGCUUAACAGUAGCUGGUGAACGCAUGUGUGCACGGGGGGGCUGGGGGCCACUGCAGCUCAAUUGGCCCUCGUGUUGGGAGGCUUGGUAGGAUUGGUGUGGCAACCCGAGGGCUUAGGUUACACACAACAAGUGAAAUAGUCUGUAAAUAAUAGGGUAGAGAAUUGCAGAGGAAAGGGAGCCGGUGUCUGCCUGGCUGAUCUGCCACUCAUCACGCCACAGCCGAUGCGUUUCGGGCCCUGCCUCCAUCAGAGCCCCAGCGUUAGCAGAGGGCCUGUCAGCAAGAGAAAGAGGCCAGACCUUGGUCCUGAGAAACAGGGGCGUGGCCUCGGGGAAUCCAUCCAUCCACUGGGUAUUUCUUAAGCACCUACUAUGUGCCAGCCUCUCUUCUGGACCGUGGGGAUCAGCGCUGGUGAGAAAUUCGAGCCGUGCCCUCCCGUGUGCGGUCCACGGCAGCAGCACGGACGUCCCUGGGAAGGGGCUAGAAAUGCAGAGUCUCAGGCCCCGCCCGCCCUUCAGUAAGGCGCCAAGCCCCUUGGGUGCACAGUCAAAUCGAGGAGCCUCGCUCCAGAAACAAAAGGAAGGCACUGGAAGGAGAACACACGGGGCCCCCUCCGAGGAGAGACCUGCUGGGCGCUGCCUCUUGGGCAGCCAGAGUGGCUCAGCUGGGGGAUCACUGGCCCUGGGUGCCCAGAGCCGCACAGCGGGUCGGCGACCACAGCCUUGAUGGAGUGGCCUGGAGACGCAGCUCUGUCCCCGCGGGAGGAAAGCAGAAACACGCCCCCAUCCUAAUCCCCAGAACCUGUGAACGUGACCUUGCACGGAGAAGACGUGACCUUGCACGGAGAAGACGUGACCUUGCACGGAGAAGGGACUCAGGUUUCUGCAGAGAUGAGAACACUCUCGGCCUUGCUCACCACCGCGCCCGCAGCCCUCAGCACAGUGCCUGGAACCUCACGGGUGCCUCGUCGGUGCUUGCUGGCUCAAAGCGUUGACCCAGGUCCGAAGUCAAAAUAGACCAACAGCCAGAUCUGAACCUGUGACCUAACGGAAUAUUCCACUGCCCACAUCCGCCCACCUCCCUUGCCAGUAAAAGCCAAUUUGUAAAAAUUACCCAACAGCCAGGCAGACAAGCACAGGGGUUGUGGGCUGGCCGUGGUGCCAACACAGCGUGAAAUACCUGUUUCUCAAGGGUCCAGGAAGGGCAGUCUCUGCCGUGGACUGGGCUUCCUUGCCCCCUGGAGGUUUCUAAACAAGCCCCUGGCCCGAGGCCGGGAAAGCAAAGGCCUCUUUUCCCAGAUGUGUGUGCGGUCCUCCAGGUCUGCAGGCCUCCUUAACCUUCAGAGAAGGGUGUCUGCAGGCAGGGGUCCCUCCGCUUAGCGAGAGAAGGGCAGUGAGGGGCGUGGGAUCUCCAGUCUGUGCACGGACAGGCGCCAGCUCACCCACCCUCACAAGCAGCCUGGAGGGAUGACAAGACCGGGCCAGGGGCUGCGCAAGGACCCGAGGAGAACUCGGACGUGAGCUGCUGCGUCAGGCCGCACCCACACCCUCCUCAUUGGCCCCGCUCAGCUCCCAGGCACCUUCCUGUCCGGUGGGAAACGCUGAAUCCUUUCCAGACGAGGCUCAGAGAAGGAAAUGAACUUGCCCAGAGCUGCACAGCUUUCAGACCGAUAGACCCAAACCCAAACCUCCCGGGCAGUCUGACACUGUAAGACCGGACCCUAAAUCUCCAGCACGUAAUUUAACGGUAGCCCAAGCCUGGUGGGGUGCCGGGCGUGGGUGUCGAGCGCCGCCUGGCCCUUCCUCAGGCGGCCCCGCACGUUGGUGUUCACAGCCCCGUCCCCAGGCUAUGGGCUCUCGGCCCCGCUCUGUUCUCUUAAAGCUUGGUGGGAGUUCCCGAGGGCUUGGCUGUGGGGGCUCAGGUCUGUCGGUAUCUGUAGUAUUUGUGAGUAAAACUGAUAAAACGUAAGACUCUUUUAUCCAUUAAGUUCCAAGUGAGCACAGGGAUAAGCCCAUUGUAUAGGAACACAUUUGACCUAUUUUGGAAAAAAAUAAUCCUAUUUUUCAAAAGAGAAAAGUAGCGUGAAGAUUCACCUUGUCCAUGUUUGCAAACCUGUUUAAUGUCUGGCUUAACAGAAACAGCGGGGUUCUCGCAUCUGCGUCUGCUUUCAAUCUGGUGCCUAGGAAAAGAAGCCUGGCCACACGUGAGUAUGUAUUUGGAAAUUAAGAGGUGGGUUAUUGGUUGUGGGUGUCAUUCUUUAAUAGUACACCAAAACUCGCCAAGAGGUCGUUCCUUCAAGGUAAGUUGCGGUAAUGAACUAUCUCGUCCCUGUUCUGUUCAGUUCCAUGGGUCUACCCUGAACUUUGAAUGGAUUUUUUGCCCACGCGUGAUUUUGUAACAUUCCAAAAUGUCGUGAAGAGGCCCUGGAAGUAGCUCAGGGUCCAAGGAGCACAGGUUAUAACUGCUGAAUUGGGUGAAAAGCUGCAGAAUGGGGUUUACAUCUGCUUUCUUGACUCUGUGCUUCCUGAGGAAAGGGAGUGGGGGGAGAGGGAGGGAGGGGGCGGGGGGGGUCGUGACUGGACUCCAGGCGAGCUCCCAGACCAGCCUCAGGCCUCAGAGGCCCUUCCGCCUCGGUGGGAGCGGAGCCGCUGGGCCCCAGACAAGCUCCCGUGUCUGCAGACUUCCCCACCCUGCAGCAGCAGCCCAGGCCUCCGGGUCACUUUUCCGUAACAUUCGUGCCUUUGAGGUGGGCUCUCGAGGGGGUCCCCAACUGUGCAGACAUGUGCUAUCUUUGCCUUGAGUCUAGACGUCACCGCUCCUGUGGUCUGAUGAUCACCCCUCUGCCCAGCAUGGUCUCGACAGGAAAGCAGCCUCCCCCAGAGCUCACGGAGGAAGGUAUCGGGGUGUUUCUGGAGCGAGGGCGGGGUUCCGGGCACUGACAAGGACGGGGAAGCGUCCAGGGACGGACAGGGUGGGAGCCAGUGCCCCCUGGCUGGGAGGGGCGGGGGAAAGGGCCGGGCGAGCAUCAGCCAGGCAGGAGGGGCAGGACGGAAGCACCCCAGCCUCCCCCUCUCUGCUCCUGCCCUCCAGUCCGCUUCCAGCGUCUCCCACGGGCUGAGCCCAGCAGGAAGCACGGGAGCCUCGUCCCUGCAGGUGGCCUCCCGAGGCACAUGGCCGGGCGGCGGGAAGGAGGGAUCUGGCCGGGGAAGUGAGAGUGGCCUGCUCGGCUUCAGGCUUCUGAAUACCGCUGUCAAAGCAGAGCAGGCACCCACCAGAGCCGUCGAAAGAGCUCGAGGGGGCAAGCCUCCGGUCCCAGCCCUGUCUCAGCCCCACGAGACGCCCAGCGGGCAUGCGGCAGUGGGCUCCUGCAGGCCCUCUGUGGACCGCCGUCCUUCCCACCCGGCCUGUCCCGGCGCCCCCGCGGAGCCCUCACGGACACCCAGUCGUGCUCUGUUGGCCUCUCCGUGACUCACCGUGACUAUGCACCAGGCGUGGUGUCAGGUAAGCUCCCAUCUGAGCCCAGGCCCCAGACUGCUGCCCACAGGGGAGAGCAGCGAGGCGGUAGAUGGCAGUGCCUUGAGGAGCGAAGCCGCGCUGUCAGCGGCUGCUUGCCUGGUCCAGCCUGGUGAGGCCAGAGGACACUGGGCCGAGGCCACAGAGCCCCAGGGCCAAAGUCCAGCCUUGGGCAGCCCUGGGCCACUGACCUUGCCCACCUGCCCGUGCCUCUGUCUCCUGCCUGUGAGACUGAGAGCCCUUCUGGGUGAGGCUUAGACUUCCCCCAGCUCUAACCACGCCCCAGCCCCGCAGGGGGUGUGGACACUGGGCCUUUGUCUUCUCUUGGACGAGCCACCAGAACCACAUCCGUGCUCUAAGAUUUUGUGGACAACCCACUCCUUCCCCUUGGCCCCGUGCACUUGUUGGGCUCAGCAGAUGUACCAUUCUGACGUCGCACUUAGAAGACUUCCUCCAUCUGGAUUUCUGCAGCCCACAGGGAAUCAUUUGCCAAAUGCACGUUUGACAAAGCAUGGGCCCGCUUCGCUGGGUCUUGUGGCGCUGAUAAAACCCACCUUUCCCCUGACGACUUGCGUCCUGCCCACGCCUGCCUUCUGGUCGGGACGAGAGGCAGAACCACGCUGGGUGGAGGAGGCCCUGGGCUUCUGCGCCCACGUGGGCUGUGCUGAUGCCAGGCGGGAUGGCAGAGGACGCACAAGGCCAGGCUCCUCUGAAACUGUGGCCGUGAAUAGUAACAUGUGGUAUUAAUAGAACACACAACAGGGGUCAGUGGUACAACGGGAAACCAUUCAUUUCCAACGUCAGGCCCACGAGUGCGACGGGAGGAACGUUUGCAAGCUGCUGCUCACGCUUUGAGACCUCGCUGCUGCUCGCUCUUCAGGAGCCUCGGGACGGCUGACGGGGGCGGGAGGGGUGCGGGGGGGGCAGUGAAGUCAGGAGGGUUUAGAGGGACCAGAGGAGUGGCAGCUGUCCCUGCUUCCGCAAAACUGCUUCACGCAAGGGAUUAGCAUGCUGCCUUCCCCUGAAUGCGGCUUUUAAAGAUACCGCGUAGUUUUCUAAAAUCACGGCAACAUAUACCUGAUUUAAACCUCACUGAUUUAACCGCACAGUUCUGCGGCAUUAAGUCACAUUGCGGUUAGACCUAGACCUUCUCUGGAACUUUUUCAUCUUCCCAGGGGACCCUCUGUCCCCACUAAACACAGUCUCUUCCCCCAGUUCCUGACACCCCCACCCCCCGUUUUACUUUCUGUCUUUACAAAUUUGAGUCCUCGCUCCACGUAGCUUAACGUCUUCAGAGUUUAUCCAGGUUGGGCCCGUGUCGGUGCUUCAUUCCUUGCGAAGCUGAGUAAUACCCGCUGCGCGGAUGUGUGGACGGACCAUACGGUGCGUCUCCGGUCAGCCACGGACGGCACUUGACUUGCCUCCCCCUCUUGGCUGUCGUGAAGAGUGCCCCCUGGGCAUCUUUGCUGUAAACACCUUGUCGUAGGUUGGAUAAUUGGCAGCCUGCGAUGUUGUCUGGCCCAGCUGUCCUCAGUCGACAAGGAGGGAUCAGAGGAUAUGAUGGAAAACUCACGGACUUUGAAGCCAAAACAGACCUGGUUUCAAAUGCUUGCCUGGCCGGCUGCAACAUCAGGCAAGUGUAAUCCUCCCCGGCCUCCAUUUGUCCAUCUGUGAAAUGGGAAUCGUGGUCACUGCUGAUUGCUGUGCCAGCAUCCGCACUAGCUUCCUGGUCCCUGCAAGAGCAGUAAUUUUUUUCGACUUUCUACCCUCUCCCCAGGUGACUGGCAGGUGCUGGGGCUCUCACAUCUCAGGGAUGAGGCCUAAUUAGGGGACCCUACCCCUGGCCCAUGAUUUGGGACCAAGGCUUCAGCCGGUCAGCUCUUGGCAGUUCCCUGGCAGCUGUUGCUGCGGUGGGGGUGGGCGCCUACCAGUGUGGUGUCCCAUCAGAUAGAGGAAGGGCUGAUUGCCGUGCAAGUGGGGCUCCCUCGCCUAGGAGCCAACAGGAAAGCAGGUUUCCCAGGUGCCACCUGCAGCCAUCCUGCCGCCCCCGGGAGCUGGCCUGCGGACAGAGCCCAGGCUGGUGGGAGUGGGGGAGGCAGAGAGGCAGAGCUGGGCCCUUCCAUCCCUCCCUGUGCACACACAGGCAUGCUCGUAGGGGCACACACACACACAGUCCCCUCAGUACAUCUGUGGACUUAGACUGUCCGUAGACAAACAAAAUACAUCCCGCUAAAGAACAGUGGUCUUUCCUGAAGGUCAACCGGUGAUGAGGAAAGCGCCCGAGGGGGCUGCGUUUACUGUCCCAAGGUCAGCCAGAAGGGCAUAUGAGUACGAGACCAGCACCCCUGCCCGAACACAGCCGUGCCUCUGUGAGUCUGUGCUCACAUGCGGGGGUGCCCUUGCUCCCACGGCUGACACACACAGUCAGGUUUAGAAGUUCCAUCGCAAAAUCAAAGCCGGCCUUGUUGAUGCGUAGCUCUGAAACACCUGCCCUGCUGGCCAGUCACCGGAGUAUUACUUCAACCUGACGCAAGAUGAGGCCGAGCGCAGGGGCUGAACAGAGAAGCCGCGGGGGCUGGAUCCAGGUGUAGCCGGUGCACGGCCGCUGUCGACUCACCUACUUGCAGGAAAAGCAAGAGCUGUCUUGGGGCAGCUGGAGAGCUCUGAGUACGGUCCAUGGAGCAGCCCAGGGCGGCGGGGCGAUUGUGCUUCCCUGAUUUUGAUCCUUGUGCUGUGGUUCCAAAGGGAACCCCUCGUUUUUAGGAAAUGUACGUGAUGCCGUUAAGGGAAAGGCGGAUCUUGUCUGCAUCUGCCUCUGCGUGUGCGCGUGCGCGCGCGUGCGUGUGUGCGUGCGUGUGUGCGUGCGUGCGUGUGUAGCAGGGAGAAGGGAACAGCAAAUCAGGUUUCGACACCUCAGAACCAGACCACUGCCUUUCUCAUCAUCUGCUCAAGAGACACGGUUGACCGAGACUUCGGACUCGGGCAGGGCGCCUUAGCUCACUCAGCAGGUGACGUAGCCCCCUAUUUGGAGCCGUCUUCUCCCUUUGUCCAGCUGCCUCUAAGGAUGCGUCUGGAGGGACUUCAACUCACUGUCCGGGACUGAACAUCUCCCGUCUCCCACGGCACCGGGCACACGCUGGGCUCUUCCUGCUGACCUCAGGGGAGCUGGGUUCAGAUGGCAGGAAAACGAACCUGGCUUUGCCACGCUCCAGUUCACCUGCCUCCUUGCACACCUGAGUUCAGGAGCCUCGUCCCUCCACCAGAGGGCGUGGCAGCAUGGAUGCCAGCCGCACCUGGGCUCUGCCAGGUGUUCCGACCGCAGCCCUUUGGAAGGUUCUGUCCCGCGUCCCCUCGCUGACGGACCCCAGGGCCGGGUGACAUGCCCGCCCACCGCAGACUCAGCAGACGGGCUGAAUGGAGGAAGGUCAUUCCCAUGGCGCGUCCCCGAGACCCGACUCCUGGUGGAGACCCUGCCAGCAGCACGGCCCCCAGGUAAUGGCCUUGCGGGACUCCCGGGCCUCGAGGUGCCCAGCAAGAGCACUGGGGGGGGCUGCUGCUCAGGUGGGCGGACAACGAUGUUGGUGUCAGGAAGCCCUGGGCCUCAAACCUGACUCUGCGGCUGUGUGUCACCGAAAAUUCACGUAACCUCUCUGAGCUUCUGUUUUCUCAACUGCAGAAGGGGGCUUAUGCUGCUUUCUUUAGAGAGCUGUUGUGAGCGUUAAUGGCCAGACCCCCGGAGCGAGAACAAAUGACGCUGGUUCAGCACGCGUGCUGCGCGCCGUGCUCCGUGUAAGGAGGUGGCAGGCUCACGCACUCACACAGGCUCACCGCCCACCCCUGGGGCUGUUGACUAAGCUCCUGCUCUGUGCUUGGUGUCCCCGGGGAUACGGAGGUGGACACCACGACCUCCUGGCCUCGUGUGGCUGACGGUCUCAUGCACGAGGCAGAAAGCAAGCGGACAAGGACAGAACAGAGACAAACCAUGUGUCACCUGUGGCGAGUGCCGCCGCGACAGACAACCCACACUCACCCCAGGGAGCAGAUGGAGGGAGGGCCAGCGGGGGGUCGGGAGGCCUCUGGAAGGGGUGCCACCUGGCCCAGAGCCGAAGAGCGGGAAGAAAGCGGCCACACCGGGUUCUGGAGGGGGGGCCUCCCCACGCCAGGGCGGUGCUUACAAGGUGUUCGAGGGCCUUGUCCCGUGGUCGCCAGGUCAGGACAGGGGCCCGGGCACACAGCCCCCACCUCUCAGACUCUCCUGGCCCCCCUCGCCCUGGGGGACAAGGUGCUCUUCGGCCUGAGCCCGCUCCGGGCCGGGGUUUCUCCGUGGUGUUGAUGGCAGGGGUGGGAGGGGAGAGGGGAAAGCAAAAGAGAGCCUUGAAGGCCGGCUGGUGGCUGAGCGGGAGCUGACGCCCUGGUGGGCACAAGGUUGAGGCUGAGCGAGGGCGUGCAGCCUCAUGACAUCAAAUUACCAGGCACAACAGGUGUGCCGGGCACCCCGAAAGGCGUGCCGUCCUGCUCCUCGUGGGCAGCCUGUCUUGUUCCCCUGAAAAAUCAUUGCUUUAAUGUCUUGACAAAAUGCCUCUCCUCUGGGACUUCCAAGCAGCACAAAGCUGGGUGGGGGGAGUCGGCAGUCUUCAUCUCCUCUGCCGUCCUCCUGGCCGGUGGGGGGAGCGGGCAGCAGUUGCGUCGGGGGCAGGGCCCUUCGCCGCUUCGGCCUCCAUCUCUGGGAGAGCGCGUGUCCGCGCAGCUCCUCGGGCUCACCUGCUGGGGAAGCUCUGGGGGGAUGUGCCCCCCAGUAGCUCACUCCGGCUGCCCCGUGGGGCUGUCUUUCAGGGGCUCCCCCCCCCACCCAGUGGUCAGCAGGGUUUCAGGGGAGGUUCCCCCCAUGGGACCUGCCUGCCAGCAGCUCAAGCUGAGUCGGCUGUGCCUAGGUGCCAGCGCGGGGCUGGCCGCAUCAGCAGCUGCUUCCGUGUGCAGUGAAUCUGUGCGCCUCGGCAGAUUCUGAGUUCUGCCGCCUUCUUCCGCAGGCCUUUGAUGCUGCCCUUAGCAAGGGGUGGGGGAUGAGGAGGGGUGGCCAGGAGGGGCUUGUCACCCUCUGGUUACCCCCAGACCGUGGCGAGCAGGAACCAGGCGUCCAGAGCCGAUGCGAAAGGCCAGCAAGUUCUCAGCACCAUGGAAGGCCCAGACUUGCCUGGGAGCGGCCCCCAGGACGGGGCAGAAAGGAGAGAGCUGACAGCACGACCUUGGAGCCCAGGGCUGCGGACAGGGGGUACGCAGGGUGGGCCUUCUCUUGCUCAGCUGGCCUGCUCCCCUGCCCACAUUUCUCAGCUCUGCUCCCUCGGAUGCCCCCGCGCUGUCAUCCUCAGUGACCGUGGCUCCAGCAUCUGGAAGCAGCCCCUCCAUGCUGGUUCUGCUCAGGCCGUGCCCUCUGCCCAGAAUUCCCUUCUCUAGCUCCCUGCUCUUCUUUCUUGAGCCUCUGCAUGGACCUCACCAUCCCUCUGUCCCCAAAUUCUGUCCCUGACUUUCCCCUCGGGGGUCCACCCUGGAUUGUAAGGACCUGCCCCCCUUUUCCGCUGUGUGCGGUCCGUUUGAAGUUGGAGCACUUCCUAUUGUUACGAGAUGGCUGUGGUGGCUCCAAGCGUCACCUCCUCUCCUGACAGUGUCCCUAGAAGACCGGGAGGAAAGAGGCUUCCCUUUGAAUGUCUGUCCCUCGCAGAGGGCUGCAGACAUUCCCUAGAAGCAGCCUUCCUGUGUCUCAUUGUCAUAAGCGGGUCAAGCGGCUGCCCUGGACAGGGACAGGGCGGGCAGAGGAGGGAAGGAUGGAGGAGAAAGUGGAGGGCAGGGAGGCGGUGACGGGGGGCGGACGGGCGCGCGGCCGGAUGGGCUAUUUUGCCUGGGUCUCCCGUCAGGCCUGCUUCGUCGGGAUGAGAUGGUAAACUUUAUGGGGAUUGUGACCAGGACGCCGGCAGGCAGGAGGCCUGGAUGCCCGCUCUGGUCUGGACUUGAGGAGACACUGCCGGAAAGGCCGCGGGUCCGCCCAGGCCGUCGGCCUCUCCACUUCCCGGGCCUUCCCGCCGGAACCCUCACGCUCCAGCUCAGACCUGCCCCCCGGCACGCGGGCAGAUCCACUCCACAGCGGGGGCUGUCAAGGCGAGGUCCCCUCUCCCAGGCUCUCUGGUGGUUGGGGGGGGUCUUCUGACCCAGUUCCCUCCAGGAAGACACAAGGGAAACUCUGCUUCCGGCUCAGUGCAAAAAGGACCCCUUGGCCCAUAAUCUGCUUUGGACGCGGCCGUGAGACAGGACGUGAUGCCUGCGUCUCGGGCGCCGUCCUGUAGCCUGAGGACGAAAUGCCAACAGGCUGAGGACGGACACGCCUGGGCCUUGAUAACAUCAUUCAGCCACAAGCCUGGAACUCACUGUGUGCUUCCCCAGACGGAGGUAAUUACCCAGCUUGUGUGUAUGGAGCUGAGACAUCACCCCGAGCCUCCUUUGGGAGUGGCUGCAACGCUGGGAUCGGAGCCGUCACAGAGACUCAGAAAUCAGGAUGGCGGGGAAGGGGGGUGCGUUUUGUGAAGACGGGCUUGUGAGAAAUGCCAACUUUCUAUUGCUUAUGUCAGGUUGGACGUGUGCCCAGCCCUCCCAAACUGCACAGGACCGAAAUCAAGGGUCCCCUCCAGGAGGCGUCGCAGUUGGCGGUGGAGGGAGACUCCAGCGGCGAAGCCUACGUCAAAGACUCGGGAAGCGCAGGAGGCGUGGACCGAGUCCUUUACCCGCGUCCUGUUCGGGGUAACUCAUCUGAAAGCCCACUCUUCCCUGAAUAUCUGCUCUCUGAGGACGGGUGGUGUCUCCAUGACACCAUCCACUUAAGAAGAUGUUGUUGAGCCCAGAUGAAGGCCGAGAUCUGGUCCCAGGAAACGGAGGCCCAACAGCAAGGAAACGCACCCGGACCCUGUCCUCCAGCGGCCUCCACCUGGGCGUAGAGCUGGACAGGCCCGCUGGCCGCUGAACUUGAAUGCGACCAGGAAACCCGCAUCUUUAGAGAAAGCUGGCAGAUCCCACGGUGGCCGUGAGAUCCAGUUAACGUCCCCAGUGAUGAGACACGUGGGUCUUACCGCCACUCUGGGGGGGGGUGAGCCUUGCUUCUGGGGAUCGCCUGGCAAGCGUGCAGCAGGUCAGCGGAUCAGGAGCAAACUUCAGAGGGGCCCACACAGGAGAGCGGUCAACGGAAUACCUGACCUGUGCACGCUUCUGAACGUGCUGUGGUCAUAGGCGCCUGGGAAAGACUGAGGAACUGUCCUCAGCUGGAGGGCACCAGCAGCCGUGACAACCAAAGGCAACACGGGGCCCUGGGCUGGAUCUCGAGAAGAGAAAGGACAUCAGCAGGAAAAGAUGCAAUCUGCAUAGCGUCUGUCCUACCCGGGUUAGUGUCUUGGUUUUGCUGGUGUGGCUGCAGGUGUGUCAGAUGUGGGCACUACGGGAUGUUAGGUACAGACGAGUGAAAACUUUCCUUGUGAUUUUUGAGGCUUUUCUGUAAGUCUAAAAUUAUUUCACAAUAAAAGGUUUUAAUAAUACAAUGUGAUUAAUCCUCUGAUAAAAGAAUUGUAGGUUGGAGUUCCCAUCGUGGCAUAGUGGUUAACGAAUCCGACUAAGAACCAUGAGGUUGCCGGUUCAAACCUGGCCCUUGCUCAGUUGGUUAAGGAUCCGGCAUUGCCAUGAGCUGUGGUGUGGGUCGCAGACGUGGCUUGGAUCCUGCGUUGCUGUGGCUCUGGUGUAGGCCGGUGGCUACAGCUCUGAUUAGACCCCUAGCCUGGGAACCUCCAUAUGCUGUGGGAGUGGCUCAAGCAAAGACAAAAAGACAAAAAAAAAAAAAGAAUUGUAGGUGCUUUGGGGCCACAUACCCUCCCCGCCCCCCGCCUACCUGCCACCUCAUUCACUCCUCCAUCCAGUCACUCAGCUUAGUUUUACUGAGCACCUGCCACCUGCUGGGCAUGGUGCCACAAGCUGGGGAGAGCGAGGUAAGCAGGACCCCGUGAAAAACACUCAGCUCACCGUCCUGUCUUUUCCACCUGCCCCCACACAGGCCGUGCUCCAGACCAAGGAGUAAGCACGGGCUGCAAAUCCCUGUCCACAGAGGGUGGACUUGCAGGCCAGGGGCGGGCAAGGACCUUGGCUGCUGUAAACCAGAGGCACUCUGGGCGUACUGUUCCUGCCGCAAAGUAAGCACUAUGGGUCCGCUGCUAAUCAGACCGUGCGACACAUCCGGCAGGAAGUGGCUGCCGAGUGCUGACUGAUGGCUCAGGCUGCGGUGUUGCUGGAACGCUGAGGAUGGGAGACGGAGGAGACGGGAGCGUUCCCAGGACCCCUGUGGGUGAAGUUUCCUCUGAGACUUGCUUUGGCAUCCUCCCCGUCCAGUCAUCCAGCCAUGAAUUGAGCCGAGAUGUAUUCCCUCCUUGAGCACCUGACCUAGGAAGCGGAGACGCAUGAGCGUCCAGUUGGCGAGGGCUGCGUAACAGACCACCCCAAACUUACUUAGCCACGGUUCCCUGCGGGGGUUGCAUGGUUCCUCCAGGCUCGGAUGGCCUGGCUGGUUGCUGCUGGGCGCUCUCUUACUUUGUGGUCAGCUGGGAGCUGCCCGAGGUGGGAAGUUUUCAUUCACAUGUUGCGUGGUGGCCGGGCUGUUGGCUGGGGUAUCUCGGGCCGUCUGUGGCCCUUGCUGUCCAGCAGGCUGGCCCAGGCUCCUUCACAGACAUUCUCAGCAGCCUGAGAGCAGCCAACAGCGGCGCCUCCGCACAAGCGCUCGCAUCAUGUCUGCUCCGUCCCGGUGGGCAGAGCACGCCACGUAGCCGAGCCCAGGUUCGAGGAUGAAAAACAGACUGGAGUCUCAGUGGAAGGAAAGAAUUAUCCGAUACAGUGGGGAGAAGAGACCCCAGGCACCGAGACGAGCCCCGGAGUGAUGACACGGAUUGCAGGGACCAGGGGUGACCUCACAGGGAGCUUGUGCGUGAGGCCCAGCCCUGAGAGAUGACUUCAGGUCCGUCCAGGAGAGAGAGGCGAGUUCAUGCACCUGACUCAUGCGACAAGCACCAGGAGGAAGAGAUGCCAGGACGUGGCCAUCCAUGAGCCGGGCUGUCAGAGCGCCGGAGUGUGGCAGAGGGAGGGGGCAGAAGCUGGGAAGAGUCGUAGGAGGAGAGGAAGAAACGAGCCUAACGCGAGAAGCGAUGUGACGUGGCCAGUAAGCAGACACAGCUGCCCAGCGGGGUGAGCUUAGCGCGCGACCCACCCUCCCUGGGCCUCGGACUCUCCGUCUGGGGGCAAGGAUAGCGGCGAUCGUCUCACACGGGUUUUAUUUUUCAGAUCCAAAAACCCUUACACUCUGCCACCUGUGUUUCUGACCUUCCAGCUAUAGGUUGGAAGUUCCAACAGCCUCCCUCCUUGGGUUAAUUGGCUAGAGCGGCUCUCGGGACUCAGGGGAACAUUGUCCUUGCUGACUUACUGGUUUAUAAAAGGAUACAAUUCCGGGCGUUCCCCUUGUGGCUCGGCGGGUUAAGAACCCAACAGUGUCUGUGAGGAGGCAGGUUCCAUCGCUGGCCUUGCUCAGUGGGUUGUGGAUUCAGUGUUGCCGCAAGUUGGGGCAUAGGUUGCCGAUGCGGCUCAGGUCCGCUGUGGCUGUGGUGUGGGCCUGAGUUGCCACUUGGAUUCGACCCCUGGCCUGGGAAGUCCCACAUGCCUCAGGUGUGGCCCCAAAAGCAAUAAAUAAAUAAAAGGAUAUAAUUCUGAAAACAAACAAUCAAACAGACCUGACAACUGAGAAGCUGUUACAGUGGCUCCUCACACGUGACAAGCACAGCGUGAAUUGCCGUGGUUUAUCUGCCCUUGGCCAGGUGCCUGCUUUCUGAAGGCGCGGGCUGAUGUAACGCUCACAGCAGCAUCAGAGGCAGAUGCAGAGAUGGGCACCAUAGGCUCGGCGAGGUUCAGAAAACGCCGGAGGCCACAGAGCCUGGGGCGGGGUCUUCCCGUGUCUGGCCCAGAGUUGGCACCGUGACCCCGCAGGGGCGUCAGCCCUGGAGUCGGCGGGAGGGACCUGCCAUCGAGGAGCCUCCCUUUGGAACGGCUCUGUUUCGGGUCCAUUUUUCUAAGAGGUUCUUACACAUGAAAGAGGGAGCAUUUCAAUCACAAAUCACUCCCACCUCCGCGUCCCCAUGCGCCGGAGGGGUGGGAGGCUGCCUUCCUGUGCAUGAGGGGCUGUGUUGGGGUUUUCCUGUGAAACUACUGUUUUCUCUAAAGUGGGGAGAAGUGUCUUGACUUGACCUUCUUUGGCAGCAGGCAGAACAUUCUAGUAGCGGUGUAACCAAAAGGCCAUGUCUCCAUCAAGCCAAGGACGUCUGCGGCCAGCUCUUCCCGGCCUUCUCUCAGGGCCGAUGUGCGGGGGCCAGGAGGGUGGCUGCAGAGGCCAUGCUGGGGCGUGCCCAUUCCAUGAGUGUGGCGGGCUGGGCACCCGGGGAGGCUUCUCUUUUGGUUCCAGUCCAAGCAGAAUGGCAUUCGGAGCGGAGAGAGUUUAUUUAAAGAAGCUGGAAGGUUAAAGCACUCGGCGUUCCGCGGAGUUAAAGCAGAGGCGUUUUUAAGCAGUCAAGGCUGGUCUGAGCUGGGCCGUGCGGGUCUCAUAAUUUUUCCUACACUCGGGCAUCUCUUGAUUCCAGAAAACCCAGCAAGUGCUGAGGGAGGAGGGAACCACAAACCCACAGCUCUGAGGCCGACUCUGGGCCGUACACCCUCCAUGUGCCGCCCCCGAGCCCCCAGAACUCUGGAGGGCGUUUUUACUGCCCCUCACUCACACACCGGGACACCGCGGCCCUGAAAGUGGGGGAAGCCAGUGGCCCUGGGUCUCCAAGUGGCACGGGGCAGCGAUGGGAUCCGUGCCCCCGAGCUCCCGUCCGUCACCUCCCGGCAUCGGCUGGCGCCCACAGGCUCACUCUCAGUUCUCCGCCUUGCCUGGGCUUCGGACAGGCCUCGUCAGAUGCCUCAGCCGCUGCAGGCUCGGCGGGUCUGACCCUCACCCUGACUUUCACCGUGGAAGGGCCUCCCCCGCUCCUCUGCAGGAGGAGCCUGAGUUCAGACGGGCUCUGCCCCCGGCCCUGGGCCGCUCUUCCUGGGCUUUGUCCCCAGAAUGCCACCUGGGGCCGGUGACACACGGACGUGGAUGCGUAGCCGCCACCAAACCCCUGCUGAUCUGAAUCACCAAGGUAAGGCUUGGCCCCCUGGGGACCCCUGCCUUUCCGACCCCAUGUUUCCACGAUGCCGUGUCUGCCUGCCCUGCCCCUUGAGCCAUUCCGGGCAGCUCCCCUGCCAGGCAGAGCUCUGCAUUCACAUGUGAGCAACGGGGGUGUCCAGGCUUCAGGGGUGCCUGCACCUGGCAGCAGGGUCAGGGAUGCGCAGGCCAGGCCCCCCAGCAGCAAAGCGGGUCUGGGCUCUGAGGCCUGUGACCCCUUUUGCCAAGUCUCUGCCGUUUCCCGCACUGCAGGGGAGGGGACGUGGUCAGUGCGAUUCCCACAUGCCAGCCUGUGGCAGUUCUGGCGGAAGAGACAGGGCUUUGGUUUUGCUGCUUCUGCCUCCCUCUCUUUUCCCAAGUUAUGGUCCCCAAUACCAAUUAUGUCACCUCUUUUCUAAGACAGAAUGCAGAGGCUGGCAAAAGAAGAAAUUCUGGUAAGGCCCUUUGGGGGGAGCUCAUUAAGGACCUCCUUCAGCCUCGCUCAGUUCCAGCCAUCUCUGCGUCCUCACGACCCCCGCCCUGGCCUUUGCCCUGUCACCUCCCGGCGGACUUCCUGCCGUACCCGAUCCGCACCCCUCGUCGCAGCCUGAGGCAUGGCCCUGCGUUGGAGAAGCCACGGUCUCUUCUUAAAACCACCCCAGGGCCUCUCGUGGUCCUCAAGAGAAGACUCAAACUCUCCGGAGCACCCGGAGGGCCCUUGGAGAUGGUUCGGGCUCCUUCCCAUGGCCCUCCCCACCCCGAGCCUUCUGUGCUCCUGCCACGGCGGGGGGCGGGGGGCUGUGCCUCCUAUCCCAGCUCCCUCUGGCCUCUGCUGGUCCCCCUUUCGUGACAGAGACCAACAGAAGGUGUGACACACACCCUUUCCUGCCCUCAGCCCGGGGCUUCAGCAGCAUCCUAGCCAGGAGUUUCUCCUGACUCCCCGCACUGCACGCUUCCUCUGCCCUGUAGGGGCCUCAGCCCCUGGGCUGCAUCUCCAUGAGGGCAGGAAUGGGGCUUACCCUGGACCCGGCUUCUCCACCCUGGGGCCCGGGGUGAAGGCAGCAGGAGCAGGGCUGCCCUCCCUGGGGAGCAGCUGGCCCUCCGACCCGCUGGGAAAGUUUGCUGCCAAAGCGGCCGCUUUUGAAGGCAGAUGCUACCAAAUGGUGGGAAUUCUGUUUCCUCUGCCACUUGCAGAGAAGGCGCCAGGUCGCUUGCACAGGGCACUUUCAGGGGUCUAGGUCUUUUCUCUUCUUUGGACUAAAGUAACCAGGCUUGGGAGCUGGGCUCUCUGCGUCAUUCCUCUUCCUGGAGUCCGAGUCCAUGGGCGCCUGCGUGCUUCCGCAUGGGGCUGCCCGAGGCUCCGGCUCACCCUUGUCUCCUGGCCCUGCUGUUUUUGCUGCGGUUAAUUGGUUAGUUGGUUAAUUGAGACUCAGCACUUGAGCUGCUGCUGGGGGCGAGCUCUCGGCUCUCCUGGGAUUUAUCGGUCCCGCCUGCGUGCUUUUCCUGCUCGGGGUGGAAUAUGAUAAGUCAUAAUCACGGGUCCUGGCGCAUUGUCUGUGCGCCUCUGUCUCUGGGCCCCGCCCUGUGUCCCCUUUGAAAUGCGGCUAAGCCCCUGGUAGCUUUCAGAUGACACUUAAGUUACACCUCUUCUGCAUUCUUAUCUCCUUUGAGUGGAGACGUGUUGACACGUUGGCAGCCUGGUGGCCUCUCUUGAGGAGCGUGUCCCCUGCAUGACCUCUUGGCUCCUGAAGACGACGGCACCUGGGCCUGCGGAUGGUGGGAGAUGGGCGGGGCUCCCCCAUCCCGUGUCGCCCCUAAGGUUCUCCUUUUGUCGGCGGGGUUGGGGGGGCCCCCAAGGAGUGAGGAGGGCCCCCAAGGAGUGAGGUAGGUGCCAGCUGCUGUCAGGUGCUGUCUUUAAUUACGGUAAAGGGUACACAACAUAAAAUUUACCAUUUCAACCGCGUUUAAGGGUGUCAUUCGCUCGGUGGCGUCAAGUACAUUCACGGUGUUUUGCAGCCGCCGCCACCCUCCCUCUUCAGAACGCUUCCAACUUCUCAACGGAGACUCUGUCCCCAUCAGGCUGACUCCCCACAGGCUCACCCCUGGGUGCCGGCACCCACCCUCUGAGGCUGUCUCUGUGGCUCUCGCCGCAAUGGUGCCCCCUGGCCAGGGAAUCAUGCGGUCUUUGUCCUCAGCGACAGCACAACGUCCCUGGGCGCAUCCGUGUUGUAGCAGGUGUCAGAGCUUCAUCCCCUUCUUUGGCCACAUCGUCCUCCGCGGCAGGGAGGGACCACAUCUUAUCUAUCCAUCACCUCUCGAGGGACCCGGGCUGACUUCACCUUUUGGCUCUUGUGACGAAUGCUGGCGUGAACACGUGUGUCUAAGUAUCUGAGUCACUGCUUUUCGACCCUUUGGGUCUUACUCAGAAUGGAAUGGCCGGAUCACGCGGCAUUUGUGCUCCCUUUUCUGAGGAACUGUUUGCUCUGGUGCCUGCACCACUUGGCUUCCCCACUCCUCUUCACAGUCAGCCCCUCAGCUGCGGGGACGUGUCAGGGUCCCAGAGGUAGAGCUGUUUUUAAGGACCAUACACAGCGCUGGUGGAGGCUGUGGGGAGCGGGCUCCCUCUGACACAGGCAGUGGGAUUUUAAGUUGCCCCCACCUUUCUUAAGAGCAAUACGUGCCAAAAUUUAAACUGUUUAGACCUGUAGAGACCAAUGCUUGCAGGAAUUUGUCCCAAGUAAACAUGCAGACUAGAUCGAAAAGAUACGUGUGUGUGUGCGCAAAGAUGUCCAUCAAAUGCCAUUAAGAACAGUAAAAUUAAAUCCAUAGACAAAUGGAUAACAAGCGAAAUGUCCAUUUAACCGUCAGUAGACACGUGGCUUUCAAGUUGCUGAUUUAUCCAUGUGAUGAAAUACUAUGCCGGGAACUUUAGGUGUCCCGACAGAGAAAACGACCACGGUGUGAUGUGCUGCUUUUGCGCAUUACCGAGCAGUGGGAUCCCGUUUUUGGACGUACCUUUUGAGGUAGAAGACCUGAAUGUACAGCUGCAGAGAGAGAUAAAUAUGUCUUUUUAUGUGUGUGUGUGCAUAUGUAUGUUUUGUACUUCAAAGUAUAACCACUGUCUUGGCUAAUGAAUACCUCCCGUCCCCUUCUGUGUCGCCCUCAUCCAAACUGGAAAAAUUCUGCCAACAAGAGGCACCCUUAUUUAGUGGCGGUGUCAAGGUGGCCUUUCAAUAGCACACUCAUUCUGCUGCCUCAGAGUCAGCCAGGAAAGGGAAGCGGGGGCGAGCGAGAGAAGAGAAAGGAAAAGCCAAGUGUUUGCGUAAGCACCUUGGAGGUUCUGAGCUCAAUAAGGCAGGUGUGCCGUGGGCUGCCUCGGGACCACAGGGGCCAAAGAGGCAGUCAGAGCACUAAUUAAAAUGUGCCAGAUUGCUGAAGCGCCAUCAGAUCCAGCUGCAGAAACCCAGAGGUCAGAGUGCAUAAAAUGCGGAUUUUUCCAUAAUUAUUUAAAUAUGUGUUAAUGAGUACUGCGAACACAGAGUAUGUCCAUUAAAGGAUGAAAAAUACAGGGAAAUUGAAAAGGAAUAACUUGGACUGUGGGGAAAACACUUACUCAGGGAUCCAACCCCCCAAUUUCUAUUUUGGUUCCAGUCCUGCUGCUCAGAGUAAGACACCCAACCACUCUGGGGCUCCGCUUCCUCAUCUGAAAAUGAAUGUCGGGGGGACCCGCUACGGAGCUCCUCAUCAUCCUUAAACCUGCCAGCCCCCCAGACUUAACGACAUCAGACGAAGCAUUGCAUGCAGAAAGGGAGCUUGCAGGACGAUUACGGAACUUCGUGUGUUUUCUUAGCAAUAUAAGUGGAGCAAAGGCCCUGGUUUUUAACCAGAGGAAUUGAGAAUACAAAUGAGCCAUUCAGAAAACUCAGAGAAAAAUGUGAUGGAGGGGGUGGGGCAUCAGAGCCUGGUGCCAUUAGCCCCCGGUUCCUGUUGUCCCCUCCCCUCGAAGUGCCAGCUUGGUCUGGGGUCCGCUUAAGGAGGGGCAUUUCCACCCGUCGCUGGAGGAGAGGCGGAACCAGGGGAUGGCAUUUCCAUCAUUUUUCUUCUCGAGCAAGGAAAGAAAAAAAAGAAAGAGCGAGCCCAGUGCAAGACUGCGGCAUUCCACGCCGUUGACACCUCGCCUUUGACUGGAGCUGCUGCUUCCAAAAUAAAGAAAGUGGUGAUUUCAGGGUGUAUUUUUGCCUGCGUUUUUGAGGAUGUUUGGGGCCUUUCAUCUCCUUUGAAGGCGCGUCACCUAGUUACGCUGCUUUCAUCCGAGUGCCCCCGUCGGAACACGCCGCUGCUUCCCUGGCAGUUGAUCGUGACGGACGGGUUUCCACUCUGCAGCUGGUGCGGAGAGCCUGGCUACUUGUGAAUACCUGAAGAAGCGCCUUUAAUCCAAAAACAAACUCCUCCUGAAAGACACAGGCUGAAAAGGCCUUUCACGGAGGGUUUUCCAGUUCCCUGGUUCAUGGUUUCUUUGGGUUGCACCGAGCUUCCUGCACUAAUGGUCUCUGAAUGCCUUCCCGGUUGUGGCCGGCUGGCCUGCCGAGGUCCCAGGCGUUACAGGGGAAGAAGGCAACCGGUAACACAGCAGAAGCUCGUUGGAGCUGCCGGGCCUGGACAGGUGGAGGCUGGAAGGACACCUAUGUGCUGAGAGCCCGAUGUUCUUUCUACAGCUUUCUCAAAGACGUGCUUCUCUAGGUAAUGCUUUAGAAGCCAAGUUGUAGUCACACAUAGCACGCACGUGGGAUUAAUCUGCUGGAUUAAAGACAGAGCAUUCGAAUCAGCGUUGAGAGGUCAUCCCUCCUCUAAUAAACGGAUUUGCUUUGGGUAGAGGGACAACAUGCAUUUUUUAAAAAAAAGUCCAUGUUAUUGAGACGACUGUGGGUCCAUUGAAAGAGUACAGAACUGACCUGGGAGCUGACCCGCGCCGGCCGGGCCUGCGGACUGCUGUCACUGGAGCCUCGGCCUUGGAGUCGCAGGUUCAAGUGCGGGAACCAGUACGUGUGUCGAGUCGCCGUCUAGACUGUCCUCACUUAUGUCAUGUUCGUGCCUCUGAAGCCUCAUCUCCAAGGUGACAGGUGGAUCAGAGGGCGUCAUGCAGUGUUGCCUGCACUCUCUUCUGUUCCUGGUUCCAAGGCCACCAGGUUCAGGGGAGGGACGCAGCCGUAGCGAGGCGGGUCCUGUGUGAGAGGCAUGGGUGUGCGACGCCACACCGCUGUCUUUGCAAGUCGCUUUCCGCCCCAGGCUUCGAGCGUCAUGGGUGAAAAUCUCUAAUGUCUAGAUUAGAUGUAAUUUCCAGGGCCCCUUCCUCUUAGAAGAGAAGAACAUCUCUAAAAAGACAAUAGUUCUGAGUUCAGACUCAUUUUUCAAGCGUCGUACUGUGGUACAGUUGGCAUAUGAUAAACUGCACACCUGGUAAGGUGACCACCCGGUAGGUCUGAGGUGAGUUCGUGCCGGUGAAGCCGUCCCCACGAUCGGGAUCUGGAACGAGCCUGCCCCCCGGCGUUGCCUCCUGCGCCUUCGGGGUCCCUCCUGCUCCAGCCAUCGGGGCCCUCCCCCCGGCAGUGACUGGCCUGCCUCGUGUCCCUGUGGGCGCCUAGAAUUGGAGGUAUAUGGAUUCGGAAACUGCUUUCUCUCUUCUGUGCCGCUUCUUUCAUUGGGCCGUUCUUUCGAGGUUCCCCUGUGGUGCAACAUGUUUCAGCAGCUUUUUUAAACGAUGGAGGUCUAGCUGGGGUGCGGGAGCAUGAAUCAGUACUUUGUUUUGAUAGCCGAGUAGUAUUCCGUUAUAUGGCUAUGACACAAUUUUGUUCGUCCACCCGCGCAUCGAUGCACAUUUCAGUUGCGUCCAGUGUGAGAUUGUUAUAAACCAAACGGCCACCUACCCAUGCCUGCGUUUCUCUUGGGUAAAUGCCUGGGACUGGAGUGGCCCGAAGCAUGUGGCAGGUUGUAUACGUUUUUAAGAAAUUGCCAAACCGUUUUCCAACGUGGUUGUCCUGACUUUCGGUUUCAGCUCUGACGCCGGAAGAGCUUGGGGUCGCUCCCAUUCUCACCACGAGAACAAUCCUGAGCCACCUGAGGACUGACGGCUUUUCUUGGUCACAUCAGAGGACCGGGGUCAGAGGGCACAGCAUCCGAAGGUCACGAGUGAGAUCCGCUGCCUCGCACCCUGGUAGGAGCAUUUCAUUUAGAUGACAAGGGGCUGGAGACCGAGUGUGCGCUGCUGUGGGCGCGGGGGAGUCUCAGGUCUGCCGGCGCAGCGCAUGGCCACAGUCUCAGGGCUUUUAUCCCCAGGAACUCCACCAGGUUUUGACAGGAAAGAGCUGAGAAAGACCGCACAGGAGUGGUGAUCGAACUUUAAUGCUGGCUGUCUUUCUAGGCGGGGGGUGGUAUUUCACUGUGGUUUUUUUGUGCAUUUCCCAAAUGACUAACUUUUCCAAAUGGCUAAUCAUGUGGCGCGUCUUUUCAUGUGGUUC